GUACCCUCAAGCUUUGCUUGGUGUUGGGCGUCUUGUCUCUCUCCCGAGACUCGCCUUAAAAUCAUUGGCAGCCGGCCUACUGGUUUCGGAGCGCAGCACAUUAUUUGCGCUCUUGUCCAGCCGCGGUCGCGCGUCCAUGAAGCUUCUUUCAACC
rnacentral:misc_RNA from 1 species